rnacentral:rRNA from 1 species
GAUGAACGCUGGCGGCGUGCCUAAUACAUGCAAGUCGAGCGAACGGACGAGAAGCUUGCCUCUCUGAUGUUAGCGGCGGACGGGUGAGUAACACGUGGAUAACCUACCUAUAAGACUGGGAUAACUUCGGGAAACCGGAGCUAAUACCGGAUAAUAUUUUGAACCGCAUGGUUCAAAAGUGAAAGACGGUCUUGCUGUCACUUAUAGAUGGAUCCGCGCUGCAUUAACUAGUUGGUAAGGUAACGGCUUACCAAGGCAACGAUGCAUAGCCGACCUGAGAGGGUGAUCGGCCACACUGGAACUGAGACACGGUCCAGACUCCUACGGGAGGCAGCAGUAGGGAAUCUUCCGCAAUGGGCGAAAGCCUGACGGAGCAACGCCGCGUGAGUGAUGAAGGUCUUCGGAUCGUAAAACUCUGUUAUUAGGGAAGAACAUAUGUGUAAGUAACUGUGCACAUCUUGACGGUACCUAAUCAGAAAGCCACGGCUAACUACGUG